rnacentral:rRNA from 1 species
AUUGAACGCUGGCGGCAGGCUUAACACAUGCAAGUCGAGCGGGGAUAGGGUGCUUGCACCUGAUUCCUAGCGGCGGACGGGUGAGUAAUGCUUAGGAAUCUGCCUAUUAGUGGGGGACAACAUUCCGAAAGGGAUGCUAAUACCGCAUACGCCCAACGGGGGAAAGCAGGGGAUCUUCGGACCUUGCGCUAAUAGAUGAGCCUAAGUCGGAUUAGCUAGUUGGUGGGGUAAAGGCCUACCAAGGCGACGAUCUGUAGCGGGUCUGAGAGGAUGAUCCGCAACACUGGGACUGGGACACGGCCCAGACUCCUACGGGAGGCAGCAGUGGGGAAUAUUGGACAAUGGGGGGAACCCUGAUCCAGCCAUGCCGCGUGUGUGAAGAAGGCCUUUUGGUUGUAAAGCACUUUAAGCGAGGAGGAGGCGCUCUAGGAUAAUACCCUAGAUGCGUGGACGUUACUCGCAGAAUAAGCACCGGCUAACUCUGUGCCAGCCGCCGCCGUAAGAC